rnacentral:lncRNA from 1 species
AUUGAAAAGGGGAAAUUUAUUAAAUACAUUAUUUGAGCAGAAUUCUGUAACUGAACUGAGAAAACUGAUCUGCUCAUUCACACUGAUUAAAAUUAAAGCUGUUUGCUGGGAGUGGAAAAGUAAAGGGGUAACUUAAAGGUAUCAAAGUAUUUAAUCAGAACCAAAUGCUGUUCAAAUUUGGAAUGUGAUAUCUGGCAGUAUUUUUAUUUUUAUAUUUGACUUUUCUUAACAUAAGCAAUUAAUUUUAUUCAAUUUCUCUGUCCUCAGAAAACAAUCACAUGUAGAAAUUACUUCACCAUUUAGGAAUUCUAGCAAGCUUAUUCAUAUUUGCAUUUGCACCAAGAAGGAUUGUUUGUGAUGCCAAUGUGGCAAAGGACAGCAUAGAUGUGAACCAUUGUGUAUAUUACAGCACAGUAAAAAUCAUGGUAAACAAUUUUCCAGACUAUUUUGUCAUUCCAAAUUCACAGUUUUAGUUUAAUUUUGAUUAUAUUUUUCUCAUAAAUAUGAGUUCUGACUUGAUUUUGAAAUAACUGUCCUGCCUUUGGAUACUAUAUAGGUAAAUAAUAACUUAGUUCAGUGAGAACUGCAAAAAAGAUCCCAUGGGAAAGUGCUGCAUUUGUGAUGUUCUCUGAAACGCUUACGGAAACAGAUUUUGCACAAAAUAAGGUUUACUUGGAAAAGUUAAGUUUUAAUUGAAUGCUUUUGUUGCAUCUUGUUUUGUUUCUGGUAGUCUUAUAAACUCAUUCCUGUUACUGAUUGUACUAACACUGUCUCUAUUAAAAAAAGCCUAACUCCCAAAGAACAAAAAGAUUAAAACUGGGCAGUAGUCCAUCUCAAGCAUUUAAAGGAUUUAGUUAAUUCAAGGCUCAUUUUCUUGGAAUUAUCUCUGAUGCAAAUUUCCUUAUUAUAUCUUUUUGAACACACCAAGCAUCUUUUGUGCUUCUUUUGAGGUAAAAUGCACUAUACUUUUAUAAAAUAUAUAUAUAUAUAUAUGAGGUACAAAGUAUAAUUAUCAUUGUUGUUUCUAGACCAUGUGGAAAUUUAUAGAAAAUGCAAAUGAAAUAAUCACUGAAGCCGGGUUAAUUUGCUUCUGAGUACUUUUCUCCUUAUAGAAGAUCAUCUGAAAGUAGGCUACAGUGUGUACAGCCCC